GUGGGGGCAACUCUGCAGUUUAGUGGCGGACGGGUGAGUAACACGUGGGUAACCUGCCCGGAAGUGGGGAAUACCUCGGGGAAACUCGAGCUAAUACCGCAUGACAUCUUUGGGACGAGAGUCCUGACGAUCAAAGCGGGGUCGCAAGAUCUCGCGCUACCGGAUGGGCCCGCGCCCGAUUAGCUAGUUGGCGAGGUAAUGGCUCACCAAGGCUUCGAUCGGUAACCGGCCUGAGAGGGCGACCGGUCACACCGGAACUGAGACACGGUCCGGACUCCUACGGGAGGCAGCAGUGGGGAAUCUUGCGCAAUGGGCGAAAGCCUGACGCAGCAACGCCGCGUGGAGGAUGAAGGCCCUUGGGUUGUAAACUCCUGUCGGUUGGGAAGAAAUCUUACGGGGUUAAUACCUCCGUAAGUUGACUGUACCAGCAAAGGAAGCCCCGGCUAACUCUGUGCCAGCAGCCGCGGUAAUACAGAGGGGGCCAGCGUUAUUCGGAAUUAUUGGGCGUAAAGGGCGCGUAGGCGGCCAUGCGUGUCUUCCGUGAAAUCCCUCGGCUUAACUGAGGACGUGCGGAAGAAACUGCAAGGCUUGAGUCCGGGAGAAGGGGGGUGGAAUUCCCAGUGUAGCGGUGAAAUGCGUAGAUAUUGGGAGGAACACCGGUGGCGAAGGCGGCCCCCUGGACCGGUACUGACGCUGAUGCGCGAAAGCGUGGGUAGCAAACGGGAUUAGAUACCCCGGUAGUCCACGCCGUAAACGAUGGGCACUUGGUGUCGCGGGUAUCGACCCCUGCGGUG
rnacentral:rRNA from 1 species